GAGCCAGACUCCUACGGGAGGCAGCAGUGAGGAAUAUUGGUCAAUGGGCGGGAGCCUGAACCAGCCAAGCCGCGUGAGGGAAGAAGGUACAGCGUAUCGUAAACCUCUUUUGUCAGGGAACAAAGGCGGGGACUAGUCCCCGGAUGAGGGUACCUGAAGAAAAAGCAUCGGCUAACUCCGUGCCAGCAGCCGCGGUAAUACGGAGGAUGCGAGCGUUAUCCGGAUUUAUUGGGUUUAAAGGGUGCGUAGGCGGGCUUUUAAGUCAGCGGUAAAAAUUCGGGGCUCAACCCCGUCCGGCCGUUGAAACUGGCGAACUCGAGAGGGAGAGAAGUAGGCGGAAUGCGCAGUGUAGCGGUGAAAUGCAUAGAUAUUGCGCAGAACUCCGAUUGCGAAGGCAGCCUACCGGCUCCUGUCUGACGCUGAGGCACGAAAGCGUGGGUAUCGAACAGGAUUAGAUACCCUCGUAUCA
rnacentral:rRNA from 1 species